rnacentral:rRNA from 1 species
ACCUUUUGGAAACUUAAGGGUCAGUUCGGCUGGAUCGGUGACAGGUGCUGCAUGGCUGUCGUCAGCUCGUGUCGUGAGAUGUUGGGUUAAGUCCCGCAACGAGCGCAACCCUCGUCCUUAGUUGCCAGCAUUAAGUUGGGCACUCUAAGGAGACUGGCCGGUGUUAAACCGGAGGAAGGCGGGGAUGACGUCAACGUCCUCAUGGGCCCUUAUGUCCAGGGCUACACACGUGCUACAAUGGCCGGUACAAAGGGUAGCAAGACCGCGAGGUAGGACGCCAACCCCAAAAAGCCGGUCUCAGUUCGGAUUGGAGUCUGCAACUCGACUCCAUGAAGUUGGAAUCGCUAGUAAUCGUGGAUCAGCAUGCCACGGUGAAUACGUUCCCGGGCCUU